UACGGAAGGGGCGAGCGUUGUUCGGAAUCAUUGGGCGUAAAGGGCGCGUAGGUGGUUUUGUAUGUCUGCCGUGAAAGGGUACAGCUCAACUGUAGCUUGUCGGUAGAAACUGCAGGACUUGAGGCUGGGAGGGGCUGGUGGAAUUCCCUGUGUAGCGGUGAAAUGCGUAGAGAUGGGGGAGAACACUCGUGGCGAAGGCGGCCAGCUAGACCAGUUCUGACACUGAGGCGCGAUAGCGUGGGGAGCAAACAGG
rnacentral:rRNA from 1 species